GCUGCCCCGCCGCCAUCCUCCUGUGAGGGAAUCAGGAAGUGAAGCCUCAUUUUUGGGUGGAACUCCACUUUAAUACCGCCAUACUACCAACAGUCCGCAUCCUCUGUCAUUUCUUCCCAGAGUCCCCCUUUACCCCAAAUAACAGUCCCUUCUAUCUCAUGUAUGGAGGGGGAGGGGAGAAGAGACUUUCCUCCAGGAAGCUUCAUUUAUUUUUUACUUGUCAGAUAUGUAAUGAUUAGUGGGGGGAGGGGCUUUUAUCUCCCCGAUCUUUAUAAAUAGGCCCAUUUGUACGGUGUCGGGACUCCACCAUAUAGAGGGGGAGGGGUGUUGUAGAUCUCAGGAAUAGUGACUUGGUUGCCAUGAGAAUAAAUCUACAGCAAAGUGUCACCGGCUCCGUAUAAUGUGAUCAGAGCUUCCCUCCUAUCAUGUCAGAGGAGGACGGGUCCGUGUGAUUGGUGCACAUGUCAGAGGAGGGGCUUGUGUAGUAAGUCAGCGUGCGCAUCAGAGGAGGACGGGGUGCUCGGGUACGUUGGCACACAUCAGAGGAGGACGGGGUGCUCGGGUAGGUUGGCACACAUAUCAGAGGACGGGGUGCUCGGGUAGGUUGGCACACAUAUCAGAGGAGGACGGGGUGCUCAGGUAGGUUAGCACACAUAUCAGAGGAGGACGGGGUGCUCGGGUAGGUUGGCACACAUAUCAGAGGAGGAUGGGGUGCUCGGGUAGGUUGGCACACAUAUCAGAGGACGGGGUGCUCGGGUAGGUUGGCACACAUAUCAGAGGAGGACGGGGUGCUCGGGUAGGUUGGCACACAUAUCAGAGGAGGACGGGGUGCUCGGGUAGGUUGGCACACAUAUCAGAGGAGGACGGGGUGCUCGGGUAGGUUGGCACACAUAUCAGAGGAGGACGGGGUGCUCGGGUAGGUUGGCACACAUAUCAGAGGAGGACGGGGUGCUCGGGUAGGUUGGCACACAUAUCAGAGGAGGACGGGGUGCUCGGGUAGGUUGGCACACAUAUCAGAGGAGGACGGGGUGCUCGGGUAGGUUGGCACACAUAUCAGAGGAGGACGGGGUGCUCGGGUAGGUUGGCACACAUAUCAGAGGAGGACGGGGUGCUCGGGUAGGUUGGUACACAUUUUGGAGGAGGAUGGGCCGGUGUGGUAGAUGGGCACACAUAUCAGAGGAGGACGGGGUGCUCGGGUAGGUUGGCACACAUAUCAGAGGAGGACAGGGUGCUCGGGUAGGUUGGUACACAUAUCAGAGGAGGAUGGGGUGGUGUGGCAGGUUGGUACACAUUUUGGAGGAGUAUGGGCCAGUGUGGUAGAUGGGCACACAUAUCAGAGGAGGAUGGGUAGGUUGGUACACAUAUCAGAGGAGGGGGUUGGUGUGGUAGAUGGGCACAGAUAUCGGGGGGAGGGUCAUUGUGGUACACAUAUCGGAGAAAGGGGGGUUGGUUUGGUAGGUUGGUGCACAAAUCGGAGGAGGAUGGGUAGGUUGGCACACAGAAGCAAUAACACAACCCACACCCUCCUGUCAGAUUUUCCCCUCUAUUUGAUAGAUUCCAGCUCCAUUC